rnacentral:rRNA from 1 species
GUAGUCAUAUGCUUGUCUCAAAGAUUAAGCCAUGCAUGUCUAAGUAUAAGCAAUCAUACUGUGAAACUGCGAAUGGCUCAUUAAAUCAGUUAUCGUUUAUUUGAUAGUACCUUUACCUGGAUAACCGUGGUAAUUCUAGAGCUAAUACAUGCUAAAAACCCCGACUUCGGAAGGGGUGUAUUUAUUAGAUAAAAAACCAAUGCCCUCUGGGCUCCUUGGUGAUUCAUAAUAACUUAACGAAUCGCAUGGCCUUGCGCCGGCGAUGGUUCAUUCAAAUUUCUGCCCUAUCAACUUUCGAUUGUAAGAUAGAGGCUUACAAUGGUCUUAACGGGUAACGGGGAAUUAGGGUUCUAUUCCGGAGAGGGAGCCUGAGAAACGGCUACCACAUCCAAGGAAGGCAGCAGGCGCGCAAAUUACCCAAUGCUAAUUCAGCGAGGUAGUGACAAUAAAUACUGAUACGGGGCUCUUUCGGGUCUCGUAAUUGGAAUGAGUACAAUCUAAAUCCCUUAACGAGGAACAAUUGGAGGGCAAGUCUGGUGCCAGCAGCCGCGGUAAUUCCAGCUCCAAUAGCGUAUAUUAAAGUUGUUGCCGUUAAAAAGCUCGUAGUUGAACCUUGGACCUGGCUGAUCUGUCCUCCUAAUCGAGCGCACGGAUUCGGUCGGGUCUUUCCUUCUGGGGAGCCCUAUGCCCUUCACUGGGUGUAGUGGGGAACCAGGACUUUUACCUUGAAAAAAUUAGAGUGUUCAAAGCAGGCCUUUGCUCGAAUACAUUAGCAUGGAAUAAUAGAAUAGGACAUCGGUUCUAUUUUGUUGGUUUCUAGGACCGCUGUAAUGAUUAAUAGGGAUAGUCGG